GGUCAUGUGCUGGGGUCCAUGAGCUGAGCCUUCCUUCUGAGAAGAAGACCCUAUGGCCCCUUCCUUUUCACAGUGGAAUAUAUCUGUGUGUUCCUUAGAAACAGCAGUGAGAAACUAGGAAAGCUGUCUGGGAUGUGAGACUUUGGUGAAGUUUAAGUUUUAUUGCAACAAAUACGUAGCUGCAGGCACAGUAGGAGGAACCCACAGCUUUUGCAGUUUGUCUUGCAUAUGUGCCUUGGUCAACACACUUUGCAUGGGACUGACCAUCGUGUCGACAUCGGUGUACUGACUGUGACUAUACUUUGAGGCUCUUAAAAUCUAUUCCUGGUGAUUGGGAGGAAAAAAAAAAG
rnacentral:lncRNA from 1 species